rnacentral:rRNA from 1 species
CAGAGGGCGCGAGCGUUGUCCGGAAUCACUGGGCGUAAAGGGCGCGUAGGUGGCCACUAUAAGGCCGCGGUGAAAGUUCGGGGCUCAACCCUGAAUCUGCCGCGGCGACUGUGGGGCUUGGGCACUGUAGAGGCAGAUGGAAUUCCGGGUGUAGCGGUGGAAUGCGUAGAGAUCCGGAAGAACACCGGUGGCGAAGGCGGUCUGCUGGGCAGUGGACCCGUGAGGGUCCAAUAGCCGACACUGAGGCGCGACAGCGUGGGGAGCAAACAGGAUUAGAUACCCUGGUAGUCCACGCCGUAAACGAUGGGCACUAGGUGCUCCGGGGAGCGACCCUUGGAGUACCGGCGCUAACGCAUGAAGUGCCCCGCCUGGGGAGUACGGCCGCAAGGCUG